UUUAAGUACAACUAUAAGUUUUUAUGUCCAAAUUUGAUUAUUUAUCUUAUUUAAAAAAAAUUUGUAAUUAGUAUUUUUGUUGUUAUGAGAUGAUAAAACAUGAAUAGUACUUUACUCGUGACUUAUGCUUUUAAAUUUUUUUAAAUAAGAUGGACUUAAAGUUGGGCGCAGAAAACCAUGGCUGCACUUAAA
rfam:Oryza nivara chromosome 6, whole genome shotgun sequence.